rnacentral:rRNA from 1 species
ACCUACGGGGGGCAGCAGUAGGGAAUCUUCCACAAUGGGCGAAAGCCUGAUGGAGCAACGCCGCGGGGGUGAAAAAGGUCUUCGGAUCGUAAAACCCUUUUGUUAGAGAAGAAAGUGCGUGAGAGUAACUGGUCACGUUUCGACGGUAUCUAACCAGAAAGCCACGGCUAACUACGGGCCAGCAGCCGCGGUAAUACGGAGGGGGGAAGCGUUAUCCGGAUUUAUUGGGCGUAAAGGGGAAGCAGGCGGGCUCUU